rnacentral:rRNA from 1 species
CAUAUCAAUAAGCGGAGGAAAAGAAACUAACAAGGAUUCCCCUAGUAGCGGCGAGCGAAGCGGGAAGAGCUCAAAUUUAUAAUCUGGCACCUUCGGUGUCCGAGUUGUAAUCUCUAGAAAUGUUUUCCGCGCUGGACCGCACACAAGUCUGUUGGAAUACAGCGGCAUAGUGGUGAGACCCCCGUAUAUGGUGCGGAUGCCCAGCGCUUUGUGAUACAUUUUCGAAGAGUCGAGUUGUUUGGGAAUGCAGCUCAAAUUGGGUGGUAAAUUCCAUCUAAAGCUAAAUAUUGGCGAGAGACCGAUAGCGAACAAGUACCGUGAGGGAAAGAUGAAAAGCACUUUGGAAAAGAGAGUUAACAGUACGUGAAAUUGUUGGAAGGGAAACGCUUGAAGUCAGACUUGCUUGCCGAGCAAUCGGUUUGCAGGCCAGCAUCAGUUUUCCGGGAUGGAUAAUGGUAGAGAGAAGGUAGCAGUUUCGGCUGUGUUAUAGCUCUCUACUGGAUACAUCUUGGGGGACUGAGGAACGCAGUGUGCCUUACGGCGGGGGUUUCGACCUCUCACACUUAGGGAUGCUGGUGGAAUGGCUUUAAACGACCGUCU